rnacentral:rRNA from 1 species
CUCUAUACGGAGUUACAAAGGACGACAUUAGACGAAUCAUCUGGAAAGAUGAAUCAAAGAAGGUAAUAAUCCUGUAGUCGAAAAUGUUGUCUCUCUUGAGUGGAUCCUGAGUACGACGGAGCACGUGAAAUUCCGUCGGAAUCUGGGAGGACCAUCUCCUAAGGCUAAAUACUCUCUAGUGACCGAUAGUGAACCAGUACCGUGAGGGAAAGGUGAAAAGCACCCCGGAAGGGGAGUGAAAUAGAACCUGAAACCGUGUGCUUACAAGUAGUCAGAGCCCGUUAAUGGGUGAUGGCGUGCCUUUUGUAGAAUGAACCGGCGAGUUACGAUUUGAUGCAAGGUUAAGCAGUAAAUGUGGAGCCGUAGCGAAAGCGAGUCUGAAUAGGGCGUUUAGUAUUUGGUCGUAGACCCGAAACCAGGUGAUCUACCCUUGGUCAGGUUGAAGUUCAGGUAACACUGAAUGGAGGACCGAACCGACUUACGUUGAAAAGUGAGCGGAUGAACUGAGGGUAGCGGAGAAAUUCCAAUCGAACCUGGAGAUAGCUGGUUCUCUCCGAAAUAGCUUUAGGGCUAGCCUCAAGUGAUGAUUAUUGGAGGUAGAGCACUGUUUGGACGAGGGGCCCCUCUCGGGUUACCGAAUUCAGACAAACUCCGAAUGCCAAUUAAUUUAACUUGGGAGUCAGAACAUGGGUGAUAAGGUCCGUGUUCGAAAGGGAAACAGCCCAGACCACCAGCUAAGGUCCCAAAAUAUAUGUUAAGUGGAAAAGGAUGUGGCGUUGCCCAGACAACUAGGAUGUUGGCUUAGAAGCAGCCAUCAUUUAAAGAGNNNNNNNNNNUUAAAGAGUGCGUAAUAGCUCACUAGUCGAGUGACACUGCGCCGAAAAUGUACCGGGGCUAAACAUAUUACCGAAGCUGUGGAUUGUCCUUUGGACAAUGGUAGGAGAGCGUUCUAAGGGCGUUGAAGCAUGAUCGUAAGGACAUGUGGAGCGCUUAGAAGUGAGAAUGCCGGUGUGAGUAGCGAAAGACGGGUGAGAAUCCCGUCCACCGAUUGACUAAGGUUUCCAGAGGAAGGCUCGUCCGCUCUGGGUUAGUCGGGUCCUAAGCUGAGGCCGACAGGCGUAGGCGAUGGAUAACAGGUUGAUAUUCCUGUACCACCUAGCAUCGUUUUAAUCGAUGGGGGGACGCAGUAGGAUAGGCGAAGCGUGCGAUUGGAUUGCACGUCUAAGCAGUAAGGCUGAGUAUUAGGCAAAUCCGGCACUCGUUAAGGCUGAGCUGUGAUGGGGAGAAGACAUUGUGUCUUCGAGUCGUUGAUUUCACACUGCCGAGAAAAGCCUCUAGAUAGAAAAUAGGUGCCCGUACCGCAAACCGACACAGGUAGUCAAGAUGAGAAUUCUAAGGUGAGCGAGCGAACUCUCGUUAAGGAACUCGGCAAAAUGACCCCGUAACUUCGGGAGAAGGGGUGCUCUUUAGGGUUAACGCCCAGAAGAGCCGCAGUGAAUAGGCCCAAGCGACUGUUUAUCAAAAACACAGGUCUCUGCUAAACCGUAAGGUGAUGUAUAGGGGCUGACGCCUGCCCGGUGCUGGAAGGUUAAGAGGAGUGGUUAGCUUCUGCGAAGCUACGAAUCGAAGCCCCAGUAAACGGCGGCCGUAACUAUAACGGUCCUAAGGUAGCGAAAUUCCUUGUCGGGUAAGUUCCGACCCGCACGAAAGGCGUAACGAUUUGGGCACUGUCUCAACGAGAGACUCGGUGAAAUCAUAGUACCUGUGAAGAUGCAGGUUACCCGCGACAGGACGGAAAGACCCCGUGGAGCUUUACUGUAGCCUGAUAUUGAAAUUCGGCACAGCUUGUACAGGAUAGGUAGGAGCCUUUGAAACGUGAGCGCUAGCUUACGUGGAGGCGCUGGUGGGAUACUACCCUAGCUGUGUUGGCUUUCUAACCCGCACCACUUAUCGUGGUGGGAGACAGUGUCAGGCGGGCAGUUUGACUGGGGCGGUCGCCUCCUAAAAGGUAACGGAGGCGCUCAAAGGUUCCCUCAGAAUGGUUGGAAAUCAUUCAUAGAGUGUAAAGGCAUAAGGGAGCUUGACUGCGAGACCUACAAGUCGAGCAGGGUCGAAAGACGGACUUAGUGAUCCGGUGGUUCCGCAUGGAAGGGCCAUCGCUCAACGGAUAAAAGCUACCCCGGGGAUAACAGGCUUAUCUCCCCCAAGAGUUCACAUCGACGGGGAGGUUUGGCACCUCGAUGUCGGCUCAUCGCAUCCUGGGGCUGUAGUCGGUCCCAAGGGUUGGGCUGUUCGCC